rnacentral:rRNA from 1 species
GACGAACGCUGGCGGCGUGCUUAACACAUGCAAGUCGAACGGAAAGGCCCUGCUUUUGUGGGGUGCUCGAGUGGCGAACGGGUGAGUAACACGUGAGUAACCUGCCCUUGACUUUGGGAUAACUUCAGGAAACUGGGGCUCAUACCGGAUAGGAGCUCCUGAUGCAUGGUGGGGGUUGGAAAGUUUCGGCGGUUGGGGAUGGACUCGCGGCUUAUCAGCUUGUUGGUGGGGUAGGGGCUUACCAAGGCUUUGACGGGUAGCCGGCCUGAGAGGGUGGCCGGCCACAUGGGGACUGCGAUACGGCCCAGACUCCUACGGGAGGCAGCAGUGGGGAAUAUUGCACAACGGGCGGAAGCCUGAUGCAGCAACGCCGCGUGCGGGAUGACGUCCUUCGGGUUGUAAACCGCUUUCGCCUGUGACGAAGCGUGAGUGACGGUAAUGGGUAAAGAAGCACCGGCUAACUACGUG